UACAGAGGGGGCAAGCGUUGUUCGGAAUUACUGGGCGUAAAGGGCGCGUAGGCGGCCUGCUAAGUCGAACGUGAAAUCCCUGGGCUCAACCCCAGGAACUGCGUCCGAUACUGGUUGGCUUGAAUCCGGGAGAGGGAUGCGGAAUUCCAGGUGUAGCGGUGAAAUGCGUAGAUAUCUGGAGGAACACCGGUGGCGAAGGCGGCAUCCUGGACCGGCAUUGACGCUGAGGCGCGAAAGCCAGGGGAGCAAACGGG
rnacentral:rRNA from 1 species